UACAGAGGUCCCAAGCGUUGUUCGGAUUCACUGGGCGUAAAGGGUGCGUAGGUGGUGAGGUAAGUCGGAUGUGAAGGCUCGGAGCUCAACUCCGAAAUGGCAUUGGAAACUACCUUGCUCGAGGGUUGGAGGGGGGACUGGAAUGCUUGGUGUAGCAGUGAAAUUCGUAGAUAUUCGCAAGAACACCAGUGGCGAAGGCGGCUCACUGGCCCGGGACUGACGCUGAGGUGCGAAAGCGUGGGGAGCAAACAGG
rnacentral:rRNA from 1 species